rnacentral:rRNA from 1 species
CCUACGGGUGGCUGCAGUUAGGAAUUUUGGGCAAUGGGGGAAACCCUGACCCAGCAACGCCGCGUGGGUGAAGACGGCCUUCGGGUUGUAAAGCCCUUUUCCGUGGGAAGAUGGUGACGGUACCACGGGAAUCAGCCCCGGCUAACUACGUGCCAGCAGCCGCGGUAAUACGUAGGGGGCGAGCGUUGUCCGGAUUUAUUGGGCGUAAAGGGCUCGCAGGUGGUUCGGCGCGUCGUGCGUGAAAGACCCCGGCUCAACUGGGGAGGGUCGUGCGAUACGGUCGGACUGGAGGCCAGUAGGGGGAUGCGGAAUUCCGGGUGUAGUGGUGGAAUGCGUAGAUAUCCGGAGGAACACCAGCGGCGAAGGCGGCAUCCUGGACUGGUCCUGACACUGAGGAGCGAAAGCGUGGGGAGCGAUCCGGAUUAGAUACCCUUGUAGUC